rnacentral:ncRNA from 1 species
UAAAGUUUUGGUCCUAAACUUACUGCUACUUUUAAUCAAAAUUACACAUGCAAGUAUCCGCAUACCAGUGAACUAUGCCCUAAAGUAAAAACGGAGCAGGUAUCAGGCACGAACAUCCAGCCCAAAACACCAAGCUACGCCACACCCACACGGGCCUACAGCAGUGAUAAACAUUAAGCAAUAGGCGAAUCAACAACCUCUUUAAGCCUGACUUAGCUAUGAUUAAUAAGGGCCGGUCAACCUCGUGCCAGCCACCGCGGUUAUACGAAGGGCCCAAAGCAGCAGACACCGGCGUAAAUAGUGGCUAGAAUUUUACCACAUAUUAAAAGCUAAACCAUAGCCUAACCGUAAAACACAGGCUAAAUGAAACCAAACACUUUUAUCAUAUAGGUGAUUUGACCCACGAAAACUAAGAAACAAACUAGGAUUAGAUACCCUACUAUGCUUAGUCGUUAAUACGACACUCCACUACAUUAGUGUCCGCCAGAAAAUUACGAGUGAAAAACUUAAAACUCAAAGGACUUGGCGGUGCCCCAAACCAACUUAGAGGAGCCUGUCCUAUAAUCGAUAUUCCACGAUAGACCUCACCAAUUUUAGCCUCUUCAGCCUAUAUACCGCCGUCGCCAACUUACUCCAUGAGGAAACAACAGUAAGUAAAAAAGUCCAACACAAGAACGUCAGGUCAAGGUGUAGCUAAUAAAUUGGAAGAGAUGGGCUACAUUUUUUAAAAUAAAAAACACGGCAUGGAACCGUGAAACCAGUUCCUAAAGGAGGAUUUAACAGUAAAAUUAGCAAGAAAACUAAUUUUAAACCCGCUCUGGGACGCGCACACACCGCCCGUCACCCUCAUCACACAAGAAUAUGCAUUACAUAAAACACAACAAACACUAAGAUGAGGCAAGUCGUAACAUGGUAAGCGCACUGGAAAGUGUGCUUGGAAUA